GAUGAAGAACGUAGCGAAAUGCGAUAAGUAAUGUGAAUUGCAGAAUUCAGUGAAUCAUCGAAUCUUUGAACGCACAUUGCGCCCGCCAGUAUUCUGGCGGGCAUGCCUGUUCGAGCGUCAUUACAACCCUCAGGCCCCCGGGCCUGGCGUUGGGGAUCGGCGGAGCCCCCCGUGGGCACACGCCGUCCCCCAAAUGCAGUGGCGGUCCCGCCGCAGCUUCCAUCGCGUAGUAGCUAACACCUCGCGACUGGAGAGCGGCGCGGCCACGCCGCAAAACACCCAACUCUUCUGAAGUUGACCUCGAAUCAGGUAGGAAUACCCGCUGAACUUAAGCAUAUCAAUAAGCGGAGGA
rnacentral:misc_RNA from 1 species